AUGGGUUUUCUAGUAAUAUGGUGCAUGCUGUUCUUGUUAGUCAUGGGAGGACCUCAAAUAAAUGAUCAGAAGGUGCUUGUUGCAGAUGAUCGAUUGGAUUUAAGUAGUCUUAACUCUGGGAAUGACACUUUGUAUGGCAGUGAGACAUUUGGAAAUCAUACAUCGCCCUUGAAUACAAAUAACCACAACACAACUAUGUCCUCCACUAACCAGUAUCACUCUGAAUCUGAAACCCUAAAACAGAAUGGCUCUGUGUCCAAAGAACCAAAGUCUGGUGUUCAGCCCCUACCAAAUCCACGGGCAUCUCAACCACGUCAGUGCAAACCCAAACAGUCACAGGUGCCCCAGCAACAACUAAAAGCUUCCUGCCCACCCAAGAAGCAGCCUUCAUGCCGACCCUGUCCGCCCCAGGGGCCUAGCUGCUGGCCCUGCCCACACAAGGAGCAGUCUGCCUGCCGGCCUUGCCCAACCUUGAGCUGCCAGCUAAAGCAGCCCCAAAAGCCAGAGUUGUCUGAGCAUGUUGGUGACCCAGCACUGUAUCAGCCUCAGGUGACCCAGCAGACUGGUUUGCAUCCACCCAGUCUACAUCAGGUGACCCAGCAGACUGGUUUGCAUCCACCCAGUCUACAUCAGGUGACCCAGCAGACUGGUUUGCAUCCACCCAGUCUACAUCAGGUGACCCAGCAGACUGGUUUGCAUCCACCCAGUCUACAUCAGGUGACCCAGCAGACUGGUUUGCAGCCACCCAGUCUACAUCAGGUGACCCAGCAGACUGGUUUGCAGCCACCCAGUCUACAUCAGGUGACCCAGCAGACUGGUUUGCAGCCACCCAGUCUACAUCAGGUGACCCAGCAGACUGGUUUGCAGCCACACCAUCCACCCAGCGUCCCUGAGGAGAGCCGGCAGCCUGUUGUGCAUCCACCCAGCGUCCCUGAGGAGAGCCAACAGCCUGUUGUGCAUCCACCCAGCGACCCUGAGGAGAGCCGGCAGCCUGUUGUGCAUCCACCCAGCGACCCUGAGGAGAGCCGGCAGCCUGUUGUGCAUCCACCCAGCGACCCUGAGGAGAGCCAGCAGACUGGUGUGCCUCCACUCAUUACGCCUCAGGUGACCCAGCAGAAUGGUUUGCAUCCACCUCAUCUGCCUCACUUACCACAGCAGACUGGUUUGCAUCCAUUCACCCAGUCUAUCUCAGGUGACCCGGCAGACUGGUUUACAUCCACACCAUCUACCCAGUCUAUCUCAGGUGACCCAGCAGACUGGUUUACAUCCACACCAUCUACCCAGUCUAUCUCAGGUGACCCAGCAGACUGGUUUACAUCCACACCAUCUACCCAGUCUAUCUCAGGUGACCCAGCAGACUGGUUUGCAUCCACCUCAUCUGCCUCACUUACCACAGCAGACUGGUUUGCAUCCACACCAUCUACCCAGUCUAUUUCAGGUGACCCGGCAGACUGGUUUACAUCCACACCAUCUACCCAGUCUAUUUCAGGUGACCCAGCAGACUGGUUUACAUCCACACCAUCUACCCAGUCUAUUUCAGGUGACCCAGCAAACCAGUUUGCAUCCACACUUUCAACUUCAGGUGACAAAGCAGACUGGUUUACAUCCACAGCAUCCACAUCAGGUACCCCAGCAAACUGGUUUGCAUUCACACUCUCUGCCUCUGGCAAUGCAGCAGAAAGGCUUCCCACCCCUGCAUCCUCAGCCACCACAGGGCCCUCAGCAGGCUGCCUUUCUGCCCCAGUACCCCCAUCCACAGGUUCCCCAGCAGGCUGUCUUUCCAUCCCUGCACCCCCAUCCGCAGGUGCCCCAGCAGGCAGUCUUCCCGCCCCUGUACCUCCAUCCGCAGGUGCCCCAGCAGGCAGUCUUCCCGCCCCUGUACCUCCAUCCGCAGGUGCCCCAGCAGGCAGUCUUCCCGCCCCUGUACCUCCAUCCGCAGGUGCCCCAGCAGGCAGUCUUCCCGCCCCUGUACCUCCAUCCGCAGGUGCCCCAGCAGGCAGUCUUCCCGCCCCUGUACCUCCAUCCGCAGGUGCCCCAGCAGGCAGUCUUCCCGCCCCUGUACCUCCAUCCGCAGGUGCCCCAGCAGGCAGUCUUCCCGCCCCUGUACCUCCAUCCGCAGGUGCCCCAGCAGGCAGUCUUCCCGCCCCUGUACCUCCAUCCGCAGGUGCCCCAGCAGGCAGUCUUCCCGCCCCUGUACCCUCAGCCUCAGCCCAUGCCUCAGCAGACAUAUUACCAAUUCAAGCAGCUUCUGGAAGCCCAAUGGCCCCAACGGCCACUCUACCAGCUCCAGGCCAAGCAGCCACGCCACCAGCCUUUCAUGUCACACUACCAAUCCCGAUUGCCAAGCUACAGUCCCAAGGUGCCACUGUACCAGGCCAAGAAGCUUCAGCACCCCCGCAGAUCAGAUACCAACCUUAA
rnacentral:lncRNA from 1 species